AACGAACUCUAUAGAGCUUGAGAGUGAUAUAAAAGCUACCUCUGCUACUCGACCACUGAAAGACUUUCUUGAAGAUCAGUUUCAGAAAUACCAUCAGCCAAACAGCUAGAAUGUGGAAUUGGUCUCUACUGAUGGUUUUCUUGAUCGCAUUCAUAGCCAGCGCAGCUCAUGGAAAAGACAUUCCUCCAUAUUACACUCCACCCUGGUUUCCUGGUUAUGCGCUCGAGUAAGACAACGAAGCAUAUGACUACAGAGUGUGAUGUUCCUAGUAACUGAAAUUAUAAUAUUAAUGAGUGAAAUUGAAA